rnacentral:rRNA from 1 species
UGAGGAAUAUUGGUCAAUGGGCGGAAGCCUGAACCAGCCAAGUAGUGUGAGGGAUGACUGCCCUAUGGGUUGUAAACCUCUUUUAUAAGGGAAUAAAAUACGGGACGUGUCCUGUUUUGCAUGUACCUUAUGAAUAAGGACCGGCUAAUUCCGUGCCAGCAGCCGCGGUAAUACGGAAGGUCCAGGCGUUAUCCGGAUUCAUUGGGUUUAAAGGGAGCGUAGGCCGCCCCUUAAGCGUGUUGUGAAAUGCCGCGGCUCAACCGUGGCACUGCAGCGCGAACUGGGGGGCUUGAGUGCGCGCAGCGAAGGCGGAAUUCGUGGUGUAGCGGUGAAAUGCUUAGAUAUCACGAAGAACUCCGAUCGCGAAGGCAGCCUUCGGGAGCGCAACUGACGCUGAAGCUCGAAAGUGCGGGUAUCGAACAGGAUUAGAUACCCUGGUAGU